rnacentral:rRNA from 1 species
AACCUGCCUGAAUCUGGGGGAUAGCCCGCCGAAAGGCGGAUUAAUACCGCAUAAAACUGCAGCGUGGCAUCACGUAACAGUUAAAGAUUUAUUGGAUUCAGAUGGGGUUGCGUGCCAUUAGCUAGUUGGGGAGGUAACGGCUCACCAAGGCGACGAUGGCUAGGGGAGCUGAGAGGCUGGUCCCCCACACGGGCACUGAGAUACGGGCCCGACUCCUACGGGAGGCAGCAGUAGGGAAUAUUGGGCAAUGGGCGAGAGCCUGACCCAGCCAUGCCGCGUGCAG